AAGAAAACUUACUUGCACUAGAACCACCAAGAAGUUCAGUCUAUUAAUUUUAUACUUACCUUAAAACUAAAGAUUUUAUACUUACCUUAAAACUAAAGAUUUUAUACUUACCUUAAAACUAAAGAUUUUAUACUUACCUUAAAACUAAAGAUUUUAUACUUACCAUUGCCAUUGUAAACUUACCUUAAAACUGAAGAAACCCAAUAAAGGAACCCAAAAUUGAAUUGUAUUGAAACCCAAAAUACUUACCUCAUCAUUUCUAAAGGAAAAAAGAUUACCCCCCUUUAGAUCAUCACAUUUGUCACCAUCUAUAAUAGAGAUUUUAUAAUACUUACUCCCAAAAGUAUUCAUGGUCCUCUCGCUACACAAACAACAUUAAUUGUUACAACAACAUUAAUUGAGCAUCCAUCAAAAAUCACCACCAAAUGAGGUAAAUCAAGAAGAAACAAAACACUUGUUCUUCAGUACAAAUAUAACCGGCAAAGUAUGUACAAGAAAGCGUAGUUAAAAUAAAUAAAACAACAAAAACAUUAAAAACACAUAAAAUAUAACUAAAAAACUAAAAAAGUGUGGUGUAUAUAAAACAAAAAGUAUGUACAUAUAAAUUUUAAAA